CCUACGGGAGACUGCAGUGAGGAAUAUUGGUCAAUGGCCGGAAGGCUGAACCAGCCAUGCCGCGUGAAGGUCAGUGCCCUAUGGGCGUUAAACUUCUUUUGUGCGGGAGCAAUAAUGGUCACGUGUGGCCAGACGAGAGUACCGUACGAAUAAGCAUCGGCUAACUCCGUGCCAGCAGCCGCGGUAAUACGGGGGAUGCAAGCGUUAUCCGGAUUUUUUGGGUUUAAAGGGUGCGUAGGCUGGGAGGUAAGUCAGCGGUGAAAUGCCCCCGCUCAACGGGGUGAAGUGCCAUUGAUACUGGCUUGCUGGAAUGCGGAUGCGGUGGGAGGAAUGUGUGGUGUAGCGGUGAAAUGCAUAGAUAUCACGCAGAACACCGAUUGCGAAGGCAUCUCACGAAUCCGCGAUUGACGCUGAUGCACGAAAGCGUGGGUAUCAAACAGGAUUAGAUACCCCGGUAGUC
rnacentral:rRNA from 1 species